ACGAACGCUGGCGGCGUGCUUAACACAUGCAAGUCGAACGAGAAGAGAUGAGAAGCUUGCUUCUUAUCAAUUCGAGUGGCAAACGGGUGAGUAACGCGUAAGCAACCUGCCCUUCAGAUGGGGACAACAGCUGGAAACGGCUGCUAAUACCGAAUACGUUCUCUUUGUCGCAUGGCAGAGGGAAGAAAGGGAGGCUCUUCGGAGCUUUCGCUGAUGGAUGGGGAUGCGUCUGAUUAGCUUGUUGGAGGGGUAACGGCCCACCAAGGCGACGAUCAGUAGCCGGUCUGAGAGGAUGAACGGCCACAUUGGGACUGAGACACGGCCCAGACUCCUACGGGAGGCAGCAGUGGGGAAUCUUCCGCAAUGGACGAAAGUCUGACGGAGCAACGCCGCGUGAACGAUGACGGCCUUCGGGUUGUAAAGUUCUGUUAUACGGGACGAAUGGCGUGGCGGUCAAUACCCGUUACGAGUGACGGUACCGUAAGAGAAAGCCACGGCUAACUACGUG
rnacentral:rRNA from 1 species